CUGGCGGCGUGCUUAACACAUGCAAGUCGAACGAUGAUCCCAGCUUGCUGGGGGAUUAGUGGCGAACGGGUGAGUAACACGUGAGUAACCUGCCCUUGACUCUGGGAUAAGCCUGGGAAACUGGGUCUAAUACCGGAUACGACCAUCUGGCGCAUGUCAUGGUGGUGGAAAGCUUUUGUGGUUUUGGAUGGACUCGCGGCCUAUCAGCUUGUUGGUGGGGUAAUGGCCUACCAAGGCGACGACGGGUAGCCGGCCUGAGAGGGUGACCGGCCACACUGGGACUGAGACACGGCCCAGACUCCUACGGGAGGCAGCAGUGGGGAAUAUUGCACAAUGGGCGCAAGCCUGAUGCAGCGACGCCGCGUGAGGGAUGACGGCCUUCGGGUUGUAAACCUCUUUCAGUAGGGAAGAAGCGAAAGUGACGGUACCUGCAGAAGAAGCGCCGGCUAACUACGUGCCAGCAGCCGCGGUAAUACGUAGGGCGCAAGCGUUAUCCGGAAUUAUUGGGCGUAAAGAGCUCGUAGGCGGUUUGUCGCGUCUGCUGUGAAAGACCGGGGCUCAACUCCGGUUCUGCAGUGGGUACGGGCAGACUAGAGUGCAGUAGGGGAGACUGGAAUUCCUGGUGUAGCGGUGAAAUGCGCAGAUAUCAGGAGGAACACCGAUGGCGAAGGCAGGUCUCUGGGCUGUAACUGACGCUGAGGAGCGAAAGCAUGGGGAGCGAACAGGAUUAGAUACCCUGGUAGUCCAUGCCGUAAACGUUGGGCACUAGGUGUGGGGGACAUUCCACGUUUUCCGCGCCGUAGCUAACGCAUUAAGUGCCCCGCCUGGGGAGUACGGCCGCAAGGCUAAAACUCAAAGGAAUUGACGGGGGCCCGCACAAGCGGCGGAGCAUGCGGAUUAAUUCGAUGCAACGCGAAGAACCUUACCAAGGCUUGACAUGAACCGGAAAGACCUG
rnacentral:rRNA from 1 species